rnacentral:rRNA from 1 species
CCUACGGGAGGCAGCAGUGGGGAAUAUUGCACAAUGGGGGAAACCCUGAUGCAGCGACGCCGCGUGAGCGAUGAAGUAUUUCGGUAUGUAAAGCUCUAUCAGCAGGGAAGAAAAUGACGGUACCUGACUAAGAAGCCACGGUUAACUACGUGCCAGCAGCCGCGGUAAAACGUAGGGGGCAAGCGGUAACCGGAUUUACUGGGUGUAAAGGGAGCGUAGACGGUCCUGCAGGCCGGGUGGGAAAGCUCGGGGCUCAACCCCGGGACUGCAUUUGGAACUGUAAGGCUUGAGUGUCGAAGAGGCAGGCGGAAUUCCUGGUGUAGCGGUGAAAUGCGUAGAUAUUAGGAGGAACACCAGUGGCGAAGGCGGCCUGCUGGACGAUGACUGACGUUGAGGCUCGAAAGCGUGGGUAGCAAACAGGAUUAGAUACCCUUGUAGUC